rnacentral:rRNA from 1 species
GACGAACACUGGCGGCGUGCUUAACACAUGCAAGUCGAACGGGUCUGCCCUGUUUUUUGCGGGGUGGGUCAGUGGCGAACGGGUGAGUAACACGUGAGUAACCUGCCCCUCACUUCUGGAUAACCGCUUGAAAGGGUGGCUAAUACGGGGUGUUCUGGCUGUGCCGCAUGGUGUGGCUGGGAAAGAUUCACUUUUGUGGUGUUUUGGUGGGGGAUGGGCUCGCGGCCUAUCAGCUUGUUGGGGGGGUGAUGGCCUGCCAAGGCUUUGACGGGUAGCCGGCCUGUGAGGGUGGGCGGUCACACUGGGACUGAGAUACGGGCCAGACUCCUGCGGGGGGCAGCAGUGGGGGGUAUCGCACAAUGGGCGGAAGCCUGAUGCAGCGACGUCGCGUGAGGGAUGGAGGCCUUCGGGUUGUGAACCUCUUUCGCCGGUGAAGAAGGUCCUGCUCUUUGUGGUGGGGGUGACGGUAGCCGGGUUAUGAAGCGCCGGCUAACUACGUG